rnacentral:tRNA from 1 species
UGAAUUUUAGUUUAAAGAAUAUAAAUAUUUGAAAUUUAAGGUAAUAGAAUUUUAUUAAAUUAAU